CACCGCGGUUACACGAAAGGCCCAAGUUGAUAGACAUCGGCGUAAAGGGUGGUUAAUAGCACACACACUAAAGUCGAACACCUUCAAAGCCGUGAUACGCUUCCGAAGGCUGGAAGCCCCUCCACGAAAGUGACUUUAAUAGCUAUGACCCCACGAAAGCUAGGGCA
rnacentral:rRNA from 1 species